AAGUGUUACAGCUCUUUUAUAAUUUGUUUAGCAGGCUUUCUGGUCUUUACCGGAAAGCCUCU
rnacentral:snRNA from 1 species